rnacentral:rRNA from 1 species
UACGUAGGGCGCAAGCGUUGUCCGGAAUUAUUGGGCGUAAAGAGCUCAUAGGCGGCUUGUCACGUCGGGUGUGAAAGCCCGGGGCUUAACCCCGGGUCUGCAUUCGAUACGGGCAGGCUAGAGUGUGGUAGGGGAGAUCGGAAUCCUGGUGUAGCGGUGAAAUGCGCAGAUAUCAGGAGGAACACCGGUGGCGAAGGCGGAUCUCUGGGCCAUUACUGACGCUGAGGAGCGAAAGCGUGGGGAGCGAACAGG